AGCUUUCUUGUACAAAGUGGGGCCUCUGGAUUGGACUGCGGCCGAUCAGGCUGUUGGUGAGGUAAUGGCCCACCAAACCUGUUACCGGUACGGGCUCUGAGAGGAGGAGCCCGGAGAUGGGCACUGAGACAAGGGCCCAGGCCCUAUGGGGCGCAGCAGGCGCGAAACCUCUGCAAUAGGCGAAAGCCUGACAGGGUUACUUUGAGUGAUUCCCGCUAAGGGGAUCUUUUGGCACCUCUAAAAAUGGUGCAGAAUAAGGGGUGGGCAAGUCUGGUGUCAGCCGCCGCGGUAAUACCAGCACCCCGAGUGGUCGGGACGAUUAUUGGGCCUAAAGCAUCCGUAGCCGGUCAUGCAAGUCCUCCGUUAAAUCCACCUGCUUAACAGAUGGGCUGCGGAGGAUACUACAAGGCUAGGAGGCGGAAGAGGCAAGCGGUACUCAGUGGGUAGGGGUAAAAUCCUCUGAUCCAUUGAAGACCACCAGUGGCGAAGGCGGCUUGCCAAUACGCGCUCGACGGUGAGGGAUGAAAGCUGGGGGAGCAAACCGGAUUAGAUACCCGGGUAGUCCCAGCUGUAAACGAUGCAGACUCGGUGAUGGGCCGGCUUUAUGCCGGCUCAGUGCCGCAGGGAAGCCGUUAAGUCUGCCGCCUGGGGAGUACGGUCGCAAGACUGAAACUUAAAGGAAUUGGCGGGGAGCACCACAAGGGGUGAAGCCUGCGGUUCAAUUGGAGUCAACGCCGGAAAUCUUACCGGGGGCGACAGCAGAGUGAAGGUCAAGCUGAAGACUUUACCAGACAAGCUGAGAGGAGGUGCAUGGCCGUCGCCAGCUCGUGCCGUGAGGUGUCCUGUUAAGUCAGGUAACGAGCGAGAUCCCUGCUUUUAGUUGCUACCACUACUCUCAGGAGGAGUGGGGCUAAUUAAAAGGACUGCCGCCGCUAAGGCGGAGGAAGGAGGGGGCUACGGCAGGUCAGUAUGCCCCGAAACCCUCGGGCCACACGCGGGCUGCAAUGGUAAGUACAAUGGGUUCCGAUUCCGAAAGGAGGAGGCAAUCCCUAAACCUUACCUCAGUUAUGAUUGAGGGCUGAAACCCGCCCUCAUGAAUAUGGAAUCCCUAGUAACCGCGUGUCAUUAUCGCGCGGUGAAUACGUCCCUGCUCCUUGCACACACCGCCCGUCGCUUCAUCGAAGUUGGUUCUUGGCGAGGUGGUGCCUAAUUGGCACUAUCGAACCUGGGGUCAGCAACGAGGGAG
rnacentral:rRNA from 1 species